CUCUCUGGUUCUUUGGCCUGCUCACUCUGCUGAAGCAGUUCCACUCCAGAUACACAGAGCAGUUCCUGGCUCUCAUUGGGCAAUUCAUACGCUCCAUCAUGGAACAGUGCACCAGUCAGAAGAUCCCGGACAUGCCGUCCGAUGUGGUGGGAGCUCUGAUGUUUCUGGAGGAUUACGUACGCUACACCAAACUGCCUCGCAAGGUGGCCGAGGCCCACGUGCCAAGUUUCAUCUUUGAUGAGUUCAGGACAGU